GUAACACGUAGUCAAUCUGCCCUUGGGACGAGAAUAACCCUGGGAAACUGGGGCUAAUCCUCGAUAGGCGCAGUGGCCUGGAAUGGUUCUGCACUGAAAAGGUUCCGAGAACAUGCUCUUGGAAUUGCCCAAGGAUGAGACUGCGACCGAUUAGGUUGUUGGUAGGGUAACGGCCUACCAAGCCUAUAACCGGUACGGGCCCUGAGAGGGGAAGCCCGGAGAUGGGAACUGAGACAAGGUCCCAGGUCCUACGGGGCGCAGCAGGCGCGAAAACUCCACAAUGCGCGAAUGCGUGAUGGGGUUAACCCGAGUGCCGUCCGAUGAGGAUGGCUUUUCUUCAGUCUAAGGAUCUGGAGGAAUAAAGGGGGGGCAAGACUGGUGUCAGCCGCCGCGGUAAUACCAGCCCCCUGAGUGGUAGGGACGAUUAUUUGGCCUAAAGCGUCCGUAGCCGGCUUAGCAAGUCUUUCGUCAAAUCCAACGAUUCAAUCGUUGGGUCGCGGAAGAUACUGCUAGGCUUGAGGACGGGAGAGGUCGACGGUAGUCCCAGGGUAGGGGUGAAAUCCUAUAAUCCUGGGAGGACCACCAGUGGCGAAGGCGGUCGACUAGAACGUGCCUGACGGUGAUGGACGAAAGCUGGGGGAGCGAACCGGAUUAGACACCCGGGUAGUCCCAGCUGUAAACGAUGCGAGCUAGGUGUUGGAGCAACUACGGGUUGCUCCAGUGCCGCAGAGAAGUUGUUAAGCUCGCCGCCUGGGAAGUACGGCCGCAAGGCUGAAACUUAAAGGAAUUGGCGGGGGAGCACCACAAGGGGUGAAGCCUGCGGUUCAAUUGGAGUCAACGCCGGGGAAACUUACCGGGGCUGACAGCAGUGUGAAGGCCAGAUUAAGGGUCUUGCCAGACAAGCUGAGAGGAGGUGCAUGGCCGUCGCCAGUUCGUGCUGUGAGGUGUCCUGUUAAGUCAGGCAACGAGCGAAGGACCCCC
rnacentral:rRNA from 1 species